rnacentral:rRNA from 1 species
AUACUAUUGCGCGGUUACCGCGGCUGCUGGCACGGAGUUAGCCGGUGCUUCUUCUGUGAGUGAUGUCCUUCCUGCCGGCUAUUAACCCGCAGGCCUUCUUCCUCACUGAAAGUGCUUUACAACCCGAAGGCCUUCUUCACACACGCGGCAUGGCUGGAUCAGGGUUGCCCCCAUUGUCCAAUAUUCCCCACUGCUGCCUCCCGUAGGAGUCUGGGCCGUGUCUCAGUCCCAGUGUGGCUGAUCAUCCUCUCAGACCAGCUACGGAUCGUCGCCUUGGUGAGCCGUUACCUCACCAACCAGCUAAUCCGACAUAGGCUCAUCCGAUAGCGCGAGGCCCGAAGGUCCCCCGCUUUCCCCCGUAGGGCGUAUGCGGUAUUAGCCUGGGUUUCCCCAGGUUAUCCCCCACUACCGGGCAGAUUCCUAUGCAUUACUCACCCGUCCGCCGCUCGCCACCAGGGAGCAAGCUCCCCGUGCUGCCGCUCGACUUGCAUGUGUUAGGCCUGCCGCCAGCGUUCAAU